UGGUCAUGAUGUUUGUGCAGGAAU
rnacentral:piRNA from 1 species